rnacentral:lncRNA from 1 species
GUGGUGUUUUUUAGUUCCAGAAUCUAUAAAUUUAGGGGUUGGGGGUGUCCGAUUCCGAAACCCCAAAUAUAAAGAAACGAAAUUCCGUAGUCCCAAAUAAGUAAAGACGAAAUCCUGUGUUAAAGGUUCUACCAUUCCUCAAUAAUAUCAAAUUGGAAUAUGGGAUAUUCUUUCAAUUUUUAAGGUUAAAGAAACAUGGAUAAAAACUAAUCCAUGCAUGUUUUAUAUUAUUUUAUUUAUCUGUAAAGAGAAAGAUUAAAGUUCGUGAAAUGAAUACGCAGACAGGACUGUCCUCUUGCGAUGCCCAGUACUUGAUUUGUCAAAAGUUGUUGAAACGGAGAAAUGAAUACGCAGACAGGACCGCCCCCUUCCGAAGACUAGUAUACUUGAUUUGUCAGUCUACUUAUCGUUUUUGGAUUGUACUAAUGAAGUUAUAUGCAAUACUCAGACUCUGUUCACAAAAGUAGUUUACUAGAAUUAUUCCUUCUUUACCUUCAGUGUCGCUUUUCCUUUUUCUGCAAGAGCCUGUUUUUAACUAGAGAUCCAUGAUGAUUAUCGUUACUAGGUUAAUGUAAUUGAG